GAUUCCUACGGGGGGCAGCAGUGAGGAAUAUUGGUCAAUGGGCGCGAGCCUGAACCAGCCAAGUCGCGUGAGGGAAGACGGUCCUAUGGAUUGUAAACCUCUUUUGUCGGGGAGCAAAAGACGCCACGCGUGGCGUUCCGAGAGUACCCGAAGAAAAAGCAUCGGCUAACUCCGUGCCAGCAGCCGCGGUAAUACGGAGGAUGCGAGCGUUAUCCGGAUUUAUUGGGUUUAAAGGGUGCGCAGGCGGCGUGUCAAGCAAGCGGUAAAAUAGCGGGGCUCAACCCCGUCGAGCCGUUUGAACUGGC
rnacentral:rRNA from 1 species